rnacentral:rRNA from 1 species
CUCCUACGGGAGGCAGCAGUGGGGAAUCUUGCACAAUGGACGAAAGUCUGAUGCAGCAACGCCGCGUGGGGAUGAAGCUUUCGGAGUGUAAACCCUUUCGACCCGGAAGAAUGCCGCAAGGGUUUGACGGUACGGGUAUAAGAAGCCCGGCUAACUACGUGCCAGCAGCCGCGGUAAUAC